UGGGAAGUGGCCCCCAACCUCGCUUCUCACUUGGUUGGCGACUCCAGCAACUGUACGGCCACGUUUCUGAGGAGUUCUGAGCCGCUCUCUGCCCAACGGUGGAUCUGGCGGCGUCAGAACCCAUGACAGCCAACGGAAAGGUUUCUCACUGUUCUUUCGAGUUCCUUAUUUCUUCCCGACCUUUUGAAGAACGCACCACUGUGGGCUGAACUGUGCCUGCCCUUUUCUCGUAUGGUUUCACUCGUUAAAGAAAGACAUGCAAUACGGGUGUGUUGUGUGCGCCCCCAUGAUUUUUCUAAAACGAAAAUGUGUUCUCUAAUAGCAAGCCAAACCAUCUUUUUAUCUUUUGUACCAGAUAUUUAUUUGUCAGGUACGUUUCAGCACCAACAGGCUGUGCACCCGUCUAUGCUUUGCUGGAAGCUCCUAUCUCCUCUCCUUAAGCUCUUGAUGUCUGGCGUCAGCUUCCCUCACAGCCUCCAAAAUUUCUCUCACAAAUGAAGAAAGAAACAAAGAGAAAAUAGAACUUGUCCAGGUCUUAUCAUACAGAGGUAUUCAAAUGAACAGGUUAACAUGUCACUAAAAUUACAAAAAUUAACUGACAAACUCACAAUUUCUAGCACAAAAAGUAACAUUCUGAGUAUUCAUCAGCACCUAUGUGUGAAAAAACUCCCAGAAGCUGGGGAAAGAACCACUGAAAAGAAUUUGAGGUAACAUUGCCCAUGCUCAAACAGCUUUUUCUCACUACUCAAACUAGAAAACUUACCAUUCCUGGGACACUGGGUGGAGUAUACAGAAGGAUCUUGCCCUAAUAGUGUGGAAGAAUUGCCCUAGAUUGAGUACUGUUCUGAUCCUACCUAGGAAAGCUUAAGAGCAAGAUCUGAAAUCAAACACUUUAUUGAUGUGUGCACAUGGGAGAGGCAUCAGUUCAAAAGUAUUUGAGGGACCUUGCUUAAAGUCAUUUUCUUAUUUUGAUUUUGCAUCUAGCCACCUUAAUAAACUUUGACUUUAGAUUUAA